rnacentral:lncRNA from 1 species
CCAGCUUUCCGCUUACUUCUGCCACUCUCCCAGCAACCAAACAGAAAUCCCAAAAACCCAUAACACAAAUUGUGAAAAAAAAAAAAACAAUUGCCCAAGAAACAAUAGCAAGAACGUCACCGACAAUUAGGGUAAAAAUCAGACCAAAUCCAGAACGAAACAAACCGGAAAAGUUUAGAAAAAUUCUGGGGAAUUAAGGAAUGGGAAAGGGGCAAGCAACCCAUAAAAUGAAAGGAAUUACCUAAGGGCAGUAGAAAAAACGAAAAGGAUCUCAAAACAUAACAAAAGAGGAAAAACAAAAUCCUUUUAAGAAAAUUUUGACUAUUAUUUUCUGGGUAACCAAAUGGAAAACCCAAGAGAGAGAGAGAGCGCUUACCUAGGGUUCCGGGUUUUUCAGAGGGUGAGGUGAGAGCCAUUGUCGGCGCCAGUGGAAACCAGAGGGGAGAGGACGAAGGUUACCUCUUAUUUUCUUUUUCUUGAUCAAUUUUUCAUUUUUUUCUGAUACGAAAAAAGGAAAAAAAAUUUACUGGGCGGAGAUGGUGGCCAUAUCCGAUUCCACCGUCCUUCACAAAUCGUAUGAAGAAAAAGAAAAAAGAAGACAAAUUACAACAGAAAUUCGAAGCUCAAGGCCUGCAAAAUUGCAGAUCUAGAAACGCCGAUCUCAACUUUGGUACAAUCAGAAGGUAGAAAUCAACCAAAAGAGAAUAACAGAGAAAAGAAAACUAAGGAAAAUUUUGCAUAUCUGUAUACAUGUUGAGAGAGGGAAAAGAUGGACGCAGCCUCCAAUUCACGGCCAGCAUCACCUUUUCCUUGAUGGAUCUACCUUGCCUACUCAAAUUUUUGGAAGAAAUUCAACCGAACAAGGAAACCCUCAGAUCUCCGGAGGAAGCACUCCCGUCCCCAACUCCAGCUGCCGAGAAAAGGCUCACAGCACCCUUUAUAUAUAUUUGGUUGGGGAAAUAAUCCCAAAGAAAAUAUAAUCCUUCUUUUCAUUUAAAAAAAAAAAAAAAAAAACCAUUUUUUUAUAAAAGCAUGUAUACAUAUUUUUUUAAUACCACGCAUUUCUGGCGCGUUGAAAUCACUUGCGUAAUUGAUCAUACGAGACAACAAAACAAAUUUGAAACCAGCCCACAAUACUUGUUUAGAGCAGAAAAUAGAUAGCGUUUCUGUGGCGGGUUGAAAUCACUUGCGUAAUUGAUGAUCAGACGAGACAACCAAAACAAACUUGAAACUAGCCCACAGUUUAGAGCAGAAAAUAGAUAAUCUCGUAAAACAAUCACAUCAAGGGUAUAGCGUCAUCGUUGAUCGUAGCGCAUGAAGUCAUCAUUGAUUAUACUUCUUGUUCAAAGCAAAAAAACAUAAAGCAAUCCAUAGUUUCCUUAUAUAUAUAUAUAUGUAUAUAUUAAAAGUAGCAGAUGAAGUGCAUGGCGGCGGCAGCAUCAUCAUCAUCAUACUUUUUGCUCAAAGCAGAAAAUAGAUAAUCUCACAAAACAAAUAAUCCAUAAUUUCAUCAUAUAUAUAUGAGUAGGGUGCCCAUGGAAUCAUCGUCAUCGAGUGGAUGGGGGGCAGGAGGAAGAAGCGGACGGGGGAACGGGGCCCCGUUCCAUUACAACCGCCUCCUUGUAGCUGCUAUUAACCCUCCGUGCUCCUACGAGAAUCAGCCAGAGAGAGAGUGAGAUGGACAUCCACGUCAUCACUCGCUUCAACACAUUCAUGGUGGAAAGUCGAUGCUAAAAAUACGGCAUAAGCUAGUGUUUAUAUAGACCAAAAAAUGAAAACGGUAACCAUUUCCUGCAUGGAAGGUUUCAGCCGCCGUCCGCCAGUCCUUGAAAAGAUUCUACUUCACUAUCAUUCCAACCCCAGAAACUAUGAUUGGACCACCGCCUUUCACAGAUUAAUUUGAUAUUUGUAAAAGGUCUGAAAUCAGAAAGUUACUGAUAUGGAUGGCACGUCAAUAUCAAUUUCAUCUAAAUUUUUUUUUAAAAAUAAAGGAUUAACUUCAAUCAUAUCCCUUGGAGUCUUGGUUAAAUAUAUCUUACCUCUCAAAAUUUCAACGUACACCCUUAUUUUAUAAAUAAAUAAAUAAAUAAAAAACCAAAGGGAAAUGAGUUUAACCCAAAAAUUCACUUUUUUUUUUUUUUAAAUAGAUAAAAACACUGUUUCUUGCUAUUUGUUUCUGUAAAAAUAAUUUUUUAAAACUCUUCCCUUCUCACUUGUCUACUUGUCUUUCAUUUAUUAUUGGCUCUCUUUAUCAAAUUUUAAGAUUACCAUUUUUUUUUUCUAAACCAUAAUACCAUUUCAAAUUUUUAACCCGACCAUAUUUUUUUCUACAAGCAUAAAUAUGAGAACAAACCAAACCCUCUCCUCCACCUUUAAUGUUAUGGUACAAAAUAAAUAUCUUAUUAACUUAAAUUUUUACGGAAUAAUGUUUUUAGAAAACAUUUCUAAUAUAAAAAUUGUUUUAAGAGAAAAUUUUUAAUUUUGAAAAACACUUUUAAGUUAGUUUUAAAUUUGCUACAUGGAUCAUAAUUGUUAAAAAUAAUUAGCCGUUGAAAGUAAAUUUGGAGAUUAUUAAUUUAGAGGAGAUCAUUAUUUAUAUUUAUUUAAAUUUAUCAUUAUUUAGAGAGGGGUAUUUAAAUCACACGAACCCAAAUUAAGAGUAAAAGGUUAUAUUAUUUAGAGGAUAUUAUUAAUUUAUUGAAUAAUUAUUUAUUUAAACAACAUUAUUUAUUUAUUGAGAUUUUAUGAUAUUAAAAUGGAGAGUUAGAUUACAUAUGACUUUUUGUUGUCACAUGAUUGGUGUAAAAUAAAGCACUUAGAUUUUUAUUCAUAAAUUUAUAAUAUUAAUAAGUUUAUUACUUGAAUUUUAAAUCAUUUUUUAAAAUUAUUAAACUUGAUAAUGAAUUCUUCUUAUUUAAUUUGGAAUUUAUUUAUCUAAUGAAAAAAAAAAAGAAAUAAUAAUUUUAUAUAAAAGAAAAACAAUAAAGUUAUUUUAAGUCAAUUUUUGUUCAUAAACUUAUAGUAUUAAUAAAUUUAUUAUUUAAGUUUUAAAUUAUUUUUAAAAAUUAAUAGAUUUGUUAAAAAAUCCAAUAUUAAGUUUUGUUUAAUUUAGAGUUAAUUUAUUUAAUAAAAUUUUUUUAAAAAAUAAUAAAAUAUAUGUUUUUAUAUUAUUUUUAAAAUUUGGUGAAAAUAAUUUUUACUUACUCUUUAAAACUAAUUCACUAUUUCACUUUAUUUUUAAAAACUAAAAAUAAAGAGUAAUAACUAAAUAGUAUUAUGAAUAUUUAAAAAUUCUUUAUACAGCCAAAAAUGGAUGUGUAGACAUCCACACCCUGUGUUGCUUUCUUGAUUGUGUAUUUGUACAACCAUUUAUACAGCCAAAAAUGGAUGUGUAGACAUCCACACGCUGCGUUGCUUUCUUGAUUGUGUAUUUGUACAGCCAUUUAUACAGCCAACAAUGGAUGUGUAGACUGUUGAAGACUGAUUCAAAGUGGCUGUUGGCAUAUUCCUAUUCUUAUGGUUGAGUUAGUCAAAUAAGGAGCUUGUUGCUAAAAUCGAGUUAGUGGGUGCAGUGGGUCAAGUGUUAGUGGUGUAGUGGGGCAGAUUGUGUCCUCUUUGUUUUUUUUAUAAAUAGACAUGUUUGCUGUAGUGGAAUUAAUGACUGCAAUAAAAUAUCCAGAAACAUUUUCUUUGGUUUGGUGAAGCUCUGUUUUUUAGAGUUAAAGAGCUCUAUUUUUUUCCUUGCUAUUGUUUUGUCUUGUUUUUGCCCAACAAUUUUUGGUAUCAGAGCAACCAAGUUCCUUCUGAACUGGGCGAAUAAUGGCAACAACCAACGGCAGUAUGGUGAGUGUGUCUCAACCAGCAAUUCCCAUUUUCAAAGGUGAGUGCUAUGAGUUUUGGAGCAUCAAAAUGAAGACUUUAUUCAAGUCUCAAGAUCUGUGGGACUUGGUUGAAAAUGGCUAUCCUUAUCCGGACGAAGAAGCUAGGUUGAAAGAAAAUACGAAGAAGGACUCCAAGGCAUUGUUCUUUAUUCAACAGGCUGUACAUGAAUCAAUCUUCUCAAAGAUUGCAGUAGCAACCACAGCAAAAGAGGCGUGGACAACCUUGAAAACUGCAUUUUAGGGUUCCUCUAAAGUGAUCACGGUGAAGCUCCAGUCCUUGCGCCGUGACUUUGAAACCUUGCACAUGAAAAAUGGAGAGUCAGUGCAAGAUUUUUUGUCAAGAGUUGCUGCUAUAGUUAAUCAAAUGAGGUCGUAUGGUGAAGAUAUUCUUGAUCAAACUGUCGUAGCAAAGGUGUUAAGGAGUUUAACGCCUAAGUUUGAUCAUGUAGUUGCAGCCAUUGAGGAGUCUAAGGAUCUGUCAACCUAUUCAUUUGAUGAGCUCAUGGGAUCCUUGCAAUCUCAUGAAGCGAGGCUGUCCAGAACAGAGGAGAAGAACGAAGAAAAGACAUUUUACACGAAGGGGGAGACAUCAGAUCAGAAGAAUGGAGGCAGAGAAGCUACUGGUAGAGGACGUGGCAGAGGAGGUGCUCAUGGAAGAGGUGGUCGUGACAGAGGCCGAGGUGAUGCACAAGGUGACCAAAGGCAGUCAACUGAGAAGAGCAGAAACAAGAGUAAUAUCCAGUGCUACUACUGCAAGCGGUUUGGACAUGUUCAAGCUGAAUGUUGGAAGAAAGAAAGGCAAGAAAAACAAGCUAACUAUGUCGAGCAAGAGGAAGAUCAAGUCAAGUUGUUCAUGGCCUAUAAUGAAGAGGUAGUAUUUUCCAACAAUAUUUGGUUUUUGGAUAGUGGAUGUUCUAACCACAUGACAGGGAUAAAGUCACUCUUUAAGGAGCUGGAUGAAUCACACAAGUUGAAGGUGAAACUUGGUGAUGACAAACAAGUGUAAGUGGAAGGCAAGGGGAUCAUGGCAGUAAACAAUGGUCAUGGUAAUGUAAAACUCCUUUACAAUGUGUACUUUAUUCCUAGUUUGACUCAAAACUUGUUAAGUGUGGGGCAACUUAUGGUUAGUGGAUACUCCAUUUUGUUUGAUGGUGCUACUUGUGUGAUCAAAGAUAAAAAGUCUGAUCAAAUAAUAGUUGAUGUUCGUAUGGCCGCAAACAAGUUGUUUCCUCUUGAAGUGUCAAGUAUAGAAAAGCAUGCUCUUGUUGUUAAAGAGACUAGUGAGUCUAAUCUGUGGCACUUAAGGUAUGGUCAUCUAAAUGUCAAAGGGUUGAAGUUACUAAGUAAAAAGGAAAUGGUGUUUGGACUACCUAAAAUUGACUCGGUGAAUGUGUGUGAGGGCUGUAUUUAUGGGAAACAAAGCAAGAAACCAUUCCCUAAGGGAAGGUCAAGGAGGGCAUCUAGUUGUCUUGAGAUUAUACAUGCUGAUCUAUGUGGUCCUAUGCAAACUGCUUCAUUUGGUGGCAGUAGAUAUUUUUUGUUGUUUACAGAUGAUCAUAGCAGGAUGAGUUGGGUGUAUUUUCUUCAAUCAAAGGCAGAGACUUUUGAGACCUUCAAGAAGUUCAAAGCAUUUGUAGAGAAGCAGAGUGGCAAGUGCAUUAAGGUGCUGCGGACUGACAGAGGUGGAGAGUUCUUAUCAAAUGAUUUUAAAGUGUUUUGUGAAGAGGAAGGCUUGCAUAGAGAGUUGACUACUCCUUAUUCACCAGAGCAAAACGGUGUGGCUGAGAGGAAGAAUAGAACGGUGGUUGAGAUGGCUAGAAGCAUAAUGAAGGCCAAGAACCUUUCAAACCAUUUUUGGACAGAAGGAGUUGUUACAGCUGUAUGGGAGGAAACCUUUUGUAAGCCAUUUAAAGGUUUUUGGUAGUGUUGCCUAUACGUUGAUUGACUCACAUAACCGUAGUAAGCUUGAUGAAAAAUCAGUAAAGUGCAUCUUUAUUGGUUAUUACUCUCAAUCAAAAGGAUAUAAGCUAUAUAACCCUGUUAGUGGUAAGAUAAUUGUUAGCAGAAAUGUGGUGUUUGAUGAAAAAGCUAGCUGGACUUGGCGUGUAAGUGAAGACGGUGCUCUUGUGGAGAUUUCAAGUGAAAGUGAAGUGGCACAGAGUGAAGAUCAGCAGCCUUCUGUUCAGAUUCCAGCAAGUCCAACUUCCUCUCAUUCACCUAGUUCCCCAAAUUUGAGUAGCAUCAGUUCUUCGCAAUCUUCAAAGGAAACCCCUCCAAGGAAAUUCAGAUCUUUAAGGGACAUCUAUGAGACUACACAAGUCUUGUUUGCAGCUGAUCCAACAACCUUUGAAGAAGCAGUGGAGAAGGAAGAAUGGUGCAGUGCUAUGAAAGAAGAGAUAGCUGCCAUUGAGAAGAAUGAGACUUGGGAACUGGUGGAGCUUCUUGAAGACAAGAAUGUGAUAGGUGUUAAAUGGGUUUUCAGAACCAAGUACUUAGCAGAUGGUAGUAUACAAAAGCACAAGGCACAGUUAGUGGCAAAGGGCUAUGCACAGCAACAUGGAGUUGAUUAUGAUGACACCUUCUCACCAAUUGCACUAUUUGAAACAGUAAGGACCUUAUUAGCCUUAGCUGCUCAUAUGCAUUGGUGUGUUUAUCAGUUUGAUGUCAAGUCUGCUUUUCUUAAUGGAGAGCUAGUAGAGGAGGUGUAUGUAUCUCAGCCUGAAGGCUUCAUAGUUCCUGGUAAAGAAGAGCACGUGUAUAGACUAAAGAAGACCCUUUUUGGGUUGAAACAAGCCCCACGAGCAUGGUACAGUAAGAUAGAUUCUUACUUUGUUGAGAAUGGCUUUGAAAGGAGCAAGAGUGAUCCAAAUCUUUACCUAAAAAGGCAAGGUAAAAAUGAUCUUCUUAUUAUUUGUCUUUAUGUAGAUGACAUGAUCUAUAUGGGUUCAUCCUCUUUUCUUAUUAAUGAGUUUAAAGCCUGUAUGAAGAAGAAGUUUGAGAUGUCAGACCUAGGGUUGUUGCAUUUCUUUCUUGGUUUAGAGGUAAAACAAGUAGAGGAUGGAGUCUUUGUUUCAUAAAGAAAGUAUGCUAUUGAUUUGCUUAAGAAGUUCAAUAUGUUAAAUUGCAAAGUAGUAGCUACUCCUAUGAAUUCAAAUGAGAAGUUGCAGGCUGAAGAUGACACUGAAAGAGCUGAUGCUAGGAGGUUUAGAAGUCUGGUUGGAGGCCUCAUUUAUUUGACACAUACACGGCCAGAUAUAGCUUUUGCAGUUGAGGUGAUCUCCAGAUUUAUGCAUUGUCCUUCGAAGCAACAUCUUGGAGCUGCAAAGAGAUUGUUGAGAUACAUUGCUGGAACAUAUGAUUUCGGGAUAUGGUAUGGUCAUGUUCAAGAGUUCAAAUUGGUUGGCUACACUGAUAGUGAUUGGGCAGGGUGCUUAGAGGACAGAAAAAACACUUCAAGCUAUAUGUUUUCUCUUGGGUCAGGUGCAGUCUAUUGGAGUUCAAAGAAGCAAGCAGUGACAGCCUUGUCCUCUUUUGAAGCUGAGUAUACACUGCAACCUCAUCCGCAUGCCAGGCAGUGUGGUUGAGGCGAAUUCUUGCUGAUAUUAGUCAAGAACAUGAGGAGUCAACUAUAAUUUACUGUGACAACAAAGCUGCCAUAGCAAUGACCAAGAAUCCAGCCUACCAUGGAAGGACAAAACAUGUUGAUAUUCGGGUUCAUUUCAUAAGAGAUCUUGUGGUUGAAGGUAAAGUUGUUUUGCAGUAUUGUAACACCAAUGAGCAGGUAGCGGAUGUGCUGACAAAAGCUUUAUCUAGAGACAAACAUGUCUACUUCAAAAGCAAGCUUAGAGUUUGCAACUUUGAAUCAAGGGGGAGUGUUGAAGACUGAUUCAAAGUGGUUGUUGGCAUAUUCCUAUUCUUAUGGUUGAGUUAGUCAAAUAAGGAGCUUGUUGCUAAAAUCGAGUUAGUGGGUGUAGUGGGUCAAGUGUUAGUGGUGUAGUGGGGCAGAUUGUGUCCUCUUUGUUUUUUUAUAAAUAGACAUGUUUGUUGUAGUGGAAUUAAUGAAUGCAAUAAAAUAUCCAGAAGCAUUUUCUUUGGUCUGGUGAAGCUCUGUUUUUUAGAGUUAAAGAGCUCUAUUUUUUUCCUUGCUAUUGUUUUGUCUUGUUUUUGUCCAACAUAGACAUCCACACGCUGCGUUGCUUUCUUGAUUGUGUAUUUGUACAGCCAUUUAUACAGCCAACAAUGGAUGUGUAGACAUCCACACGCUGUGUUGCUUUCUUGAUUGUGUAUUUGUCUUUGUAUGCUUGUCUGUUUUUCCUGGUUUGAUACAGCUGACAAGAAUCCACUUCUUUUUUAUUUUUGUAAGUUUAAAGUAUUUCAUAGUAACCCAACUUUGUAAUUUUUUAGGUUUGAAGUGGGUUUUAACGUGUUGAUUUGAAAAAAAGUUUGUGUUCUGUUAAAGUUGUACGGUUUGAAACCUAUACUGAUUGAUAAUACAACCAAAAAUGGGGUAGAUGUGAACCAAAAAUGGGUACGGUUGGAUAGAGAUGUAAUUUCAUCCACAUUUCUCAUCUAAGCCCAAUCCAAAUUUAAAUACCCCAAGUUGGAUUAGAACUGCAAUUCCUAAUUUUGACUUGGAUUUGAAUUUAACCAGCCCAAUUUGCCUCUCAGGGAGGGCUUUAAGCCAUGGCCAGGGGGCUUUAGAAUCUUUGAAACCAUAACCAAAUUCAAUUAACUGAACCCAUAUAUUUUGUUAUACUCAAUUCUGCCUGCUCUUAAGGAACUAACCUGUUUCAUCCAAUCAACUUAAACAUAACUCACUAAGAUGAGUUUAAUUUGAUUUCUUUCAGGGUGUUGAUGCUAGAAACUUACCAACCUAUUUCAAGGUGUCUUUUGCCGUUUCAGGCUGUUGAUAUUGCAGACCCUAAAUCUAUUAUUGUGAGUAGAGUUUGUUAGGUGCAACCGUGCAACAAUGUUGUUCUUAAAACAUUGGUGGAAGGACUUUUGAUAAGAGUACGGUAAUUUCAAAAAAAAAAAAUCUUAAAUUAUCAUAGUAGAAAAAAUAAUUCUAAAUUUACGGCAAUUUUUACCAGGUAGGAGAGAAGGAGAGUUGUUUUUUUUAUCAACUUGAAAAUUGUCUUUUGAAAAGACGAUUUCCACCAAAACAAAUAUAAAAAAAAAUUAAUCCCUCAAAAAUCGUCUUUUAAAAAGACGAUUUCCACCUAACAAACAUACAAAAAAAAAUUAACUACUCAAAUCGUCUUUUGAGAAAACGAUUUCCACCAAAACAAAUAUAUAUAUAUAUAUAUAUAUAUAUAUAUAUAAAUUAAUCUUUAAAAAAAAUUAGUUCGUCUCUUGAAGAUACCAUUUCCCUAAAAAAUAUUUAAGUGUAAAUCUUCUCUUAAAGAGACGAUUUCCAAAAAAAAAAAAAAAUUACUACCCUAGGAAAUCAUUUCUUCACCACCCAAAUUUCAAACUUUUAUAUAUUUUAAUUUUUUUAAUUAUGUUAAAUCAGAUAACAUUUUAGUUUUAUUUCUACUUUUAUUUUUAUUUUUAUAUCUCAUUGUUUUUACAACAUAAUUUUCAAUUAUUUCUAUUUUUUAAAUUUUAAUAUUUUUUAAAUCAUAUAUUAUGAAAAAUAUAUAGAAAUAUAAUUAUUCUAUUAUUAUUAUUUUUCAUUCUCAUUUUACUAAUAUUUUAUUUUAUUUUUAAAUUUAAAUUUUAAUAUUUUAUAAAACAUAUUAUUUGAUUGAUAAACAUAAACAAUAAUCCUAUUAUUUCAUAUUAAUUAAAUAAACUAAUAUCAUUUUUAUUUUUUGAAUGAUUUAAUUCAUUUAUCUUUAUAUAAUGAUAAUUUACAACAAAUAAUAUUCUAACAAAAUUACCAUAAAUCCAAUAAAUUUAAAAAAUACAAAUAACAACAAAUAUCUAUCAUGUAUUACACAAUAAAUAUGAAAUAAAGGCAAAAAUAUUACCAAUGAAUAAAAUAAUAUAUCUUUUAUUUUUUUGAAUGAUUUAAUCUAUUUAAAAUAAUAAUUUCCAAUAAAUAUUAUUCAAACAAAUAUUACAUAAUCCAAAUAAAUUUAAAAACUUAUAUAAUAAUAAAAACUAUAUAUUAUAAAAUAACUUAAAAUAAAAAUAAAGUAAAAAUAUUACCUUAUAAGUAGCGUGUUGAAAAAAAUAGAUGAGAUAUGCUAAGAUGGAAGUGAUGGAAGGUGAAAAACUAAUAAGUGCAUGCAAUAGGUAAGAUUCUCAUAUACCUAUGGGCUAGCUAUGAGAGGGUAGUAAACGGUCUUCAAAUUUGUGUGAAGUAUAAUAGGUUAUAAGAGAUAUGACAACACAUGAAAUUUUAACUUAAAAGAUUAAUAUUUUUAACCUUAAAAUUUAUAUAAUAUAAUUAAUUUAAAAAUUAAAACAAAACAAAAUUAUUUAUUUUGUAAAUAAUUUUUUUAAACUCAUUUUAUCAUAUAAAUUUGAUAAUAACUUUUUUUAAUUGCAAAGUGAAAGAAAGAAAAAAACAAUAGAUAAAUAUUAUUUAUUUUGUAUUAAAUUUAGUAAAUUAAAUUAAUUAAUUUUAUAAUAUAUAUUUAUAAUAAUUAUAAGAGUAUAAUUUAUUUUUAAAUUUUAAAAUGGAUUUAUAAUAUAUUUUUAUAUUAAGUUGUAUUAUUUGUUUUUAUAAUAUGGAGAUAAUUAAAGAUAUUAAAAUAUAUAAAAAUUUGAAAUUUGGGUGGUGAAGAGAUGACUUCUUGGGGUAGCAAUUUUUUUUUCUAGGAAGAGACGAUUUCAAAUUAAUUUUUUUUUAAAUAAUACUUUUUUUUUUGGAAAUCAUCUUUUGAAAAGACGAUUUUUGAGUGGUUAAUUUUUAAUAUAUAUAUUUGUUUUGAUGAAAAUCGUUUUCUCAAAAAAUGAUUUUUGAGUGGUUAAUUUUUUUAUAUGUUUGUUAGGGUGGAAAUUGUCUUUCCAAAACACGAUUUUUGAGGAAUUUUUUAUUUUUUUAUAUUUGUUUUUGUGGAAAUCAUUUUUUCAAAAGACGAUUUCCAAGUUGACAAAAAACAACAACUCUCCUUCUCUUUUACCUGACAUAGAUUUAGAAUUAUUUUUCCUAUUAUAGUAAUUUAAUAAUAUUUUUUUUAAUUACCAUAGUCUUAUCAAAAGUCCCCUCGGCGGGAUGGAUCAUCCGAUAGAAGGCUCGUGAUGUUUCACCUACCCUAACACCAAUUAGUUUCCAGAUAGAGUGGUCAAAAUCUGAUCCAAGAGAAUUCAAACUUGAAAAAAAAUUCCCAAACUUGAAAUUUGUAUUAACUCCCAAGAAUGAAAUUAUUCUCUCCUAUUUUCUUAAGUUGGAUGUCAUUCAUUUCACGAGGAGCAAAUGGCACAAUCUGUGGGCUUUGUUGGUAUUCUUUUACCCCUAAAUAAUGAUAAAGUUUAAAGAGUUUCUCAUUAUGAUCUAGUAUGGGAGCUGACUGCUUCUUUGGAUCAGGAUUAAGGGUUGGUGGGAUAAUUAUCUCACUUUUGAUAAUAGGAAUAGUAUCCUUAAAGCCUAUAGGAUUAAUGAGAGUAAUGAAGCUGUUAAGGACGAAGAUGGCCAAGAUAUUGAGGAUGCAGUGGCUACUUUAAUCUACUCAAUAUCCAAGCACUUCAUUGGAGAUCCUACAAAAAUUAAGGAUAAAACUGCAGAUCUCUUAACCAACCUUAAGUGUCCCAAGCUUCAUGAUUUUAGGUGGUAUAAGGAAGUCUUCCUAACCAAAGUCAUGCUAAGAUCAGAUUGUAACCAGUCUUUUUGGAAAGAAAAAUUCAUCUCAGGUUUACCCAAGCUUUUCUCUGAGAGAAUUAGGAUCAAGAUAAGGGAACAGUAUAAUGGUCAAAUCCCUUAUGAUAAGUUAACCUAUGGUGAGAUUAUAAGCAUUGUCAUAGCUGAAUGGAUUAAGUUGUGCAAUGACUUCAAGCUUAAGCAACAAAUGAAGAAUGAACAAAAAAUCUACAAGAAUGAAUUUGGAUCAUUCUGUAGCCAGUUUGGUUUCAGCCAAAAAGAAACUAUGCCUCCCUCUAAGCAAAAACCAAGUAGGAAGCCUAGCAAAGAUAAGUUUUACCACAGUAAGAGAGGUACCCAUGACAACUAUAGGAUGAAUGAUACUAAGCAUUCAAGGCACGUCCAAAGAAGGGUCAACAAAGAUACCCAGAAAAAGGUAGAAACUCCUUUAGAUGUCAAGCCAUUCAUCUGUUUUAAAUGUGGCAAAGUUGGCCAUUAUAAAAAAGAUUGUAGAGUUAAGCAAAAUAUUAAUAACUUAAGUGUCUCAAAUGACUUAAAAAAUAUGUUUUGUAAGGUAAUGUUAAACUCAGAUUCUGAAUCAAGGACUGAUUCAGAUAAUGAAGAUGACAUUAAUCAACUAGACAGUAGUGGUGAAGUUUCCAGCCAAUCUUCUAGUGACCAAGCAGAAUACAUUAAAGGUAAUUGUAAUUGUCGUCCUAAAACUAUAAAUGUCAUAAGCCAAGAUCAGGAAUUUAUCCUAGAUACUUUAAGAAAAGUUGAAGAUGAAAAGACUAAGCAAAAUCUUUAUGAAGUUUUUAAGAAAUCUGUUGUCAAAGUAGAAGCCAAGAAGACUGUUAAUCCUUAUAACCUUAAUGAUAUCUUAAAUAGGUUUGACCAGCAGUUUCCCAAAGAAGUCAGCAUUAAGGAACUUCAUGAAGAAGUUAAGCAGCAUAAGAAGGAGAUUAAAGAGUUAAGACAAUUCAUAAGUUUAGGUCUCUCUGAUCUCCAAGAUCAAAUCAAUAGAAUUGUCAACCAAGGAAACCUUAUGGAUAUUCCAGAAUCUUCUCAUGUUAAUGAUAAUGAGACAGAUAUUUUUUUGAAUACUGUGAGUAAGGUUAUCUUCCAGAGGUGGGAAGUCUCCCUUACUAUAGUAGUCAAAGAUAAAUUUGUCUUUGAUAUUAUUGCUUUGAUUGAUUCAGGAGCAGCUGAAAAUUGCCUUCAAGAAGGUCUUGUACCUAUUCCGUUAUGCGAAGAGACUAGUCAGUCUCUAUUUGGAGCCAAUGGCAAAAGACUUGCCAUUAAGUAUAAGUUAACAGAUGUUCAUAUUCAUAACCAUGACAUCUGUAUUAAACAAACCUUUAUCCUUGUUAAGGAUCUUAAUGAAAAAGCCCUUCUAGGAAUACCCUUCUUAAGCUCUAUUUAUCCCUUGUGGGUAGAUAACCAAGGUAUAAGAACAAAGCUUUUUGAUAAGGAAAUUAUUUUUUAAUUUGCUAAUCCUGUUGAAAACGUCACUCGUUGUGAUCAAGAAAUUAAUCUUGUUAGAAUAGAUGAUCCACCUAAGAUAUUAGGUACCCAAUUCAUUCAUAAUCUCAUUAUAAAUGAUAUUUUAAGCAUUCCUUUAUGCAUUUCAAAAUUUCAAACUGAUAUUUUGAACCAAGGAAUUUUAAAAGUUGUUUUCACAUCUGAGAAAACAAUUAAGUAUAUAGCUUUUAAGUAUAAUUUAAUUAAUUGGAUUAUUUUAAACCCUAAUUUUCAAAUCAAAAUUAUUAAAGGAGAAAGUUCCAUUCCUAAUCACUCAACUCAUGAAAUUUGCAGGGUUCACGAGACCAUGGCCCCUAAAAAGAAUACCCAAGCUCCUAGCCAGAAAACCCAACCCAUUCAAGCUCCUUCUCCCCAUAAAAUGCUAUGGAGCCAACAAGUUGAAGAAGAAGAAGCAAGGCUUCAUUCUUCUAAACCUAUACCUAACAAGAUGAUGACCUUGUACUAUGAUCAUUCCGAUCCAGCUAAUCCAGUCAAGGCCACUCAGUAUCCAGCCAUUUCAGGGUCUCAGACCUUCAAGCAAGUCAUUAAGGCUAAUCCCUCUCAAAAGGAAUUAGCAUCAAGCUCCUCUUUUUCAAACAAGCAAAUUGUGGUGGAUGCCAACCCCACACAUUUUUCAACAAAAUCAAGAUAUGGCAAAAUUAUUUAAAUCAACCUCUUUUGGUUAUAGAAAGAGAAUUUUUCUCUGAAAACCCCAGAGAAAUUGCUGCAAAAGCUUUUCAAAAAAAUUUUCAUUAUCCCUCUGGUGAUAUUUUAAGAAUAAGAGAGUUUUAUGAAGCAGUCCUUACAGAAACUGGUUUUGUUAAAAUUAAGCAUAAUGCAGACAAAUUCAGCAAUAUGGGUUUGGCAUUCUCCACUUGCCAUAUCUAUAAGAUUCUUACUGUCAAGCAAUGGGGAGGAAAUCCUAAUCUUUCAAGGGAAUUUUCUGAACCAUCAAAGCCAAGGUUUUUUAAUUAUUGGGAUUAUCAGAGAGCAUGGUUUAAUGUUUUUCUGAUCCAGAAUAGGGACUUCCAUCAUUCAUGGAUGUUCUAUUUUCCAUCUAAGAAUCAACUUUUCUCUUUCCCAUUUUGGUUCUACAAUUGGUGGAAUUAUUAUGGUCCGACUAUUAAGAUUCUUCCCAAGCCCAUCCUGGAUGGCUUUGAGCUAUUCAGAAGUUCUUUUAAUAUCCCCAGAGAACUUUCAGCUUUUCCCCCUUUACUAUUCUUCUUCAGCAAAUUUGGCCUUACUUGGAUAGUCCAGUGGGACUAUAUUAUCAUUACAGAUGAAUCAACAGCCUUUCCAUCGCUGGGAAGGACCUUUAAAACAAAAUGGUGGGAUGCCUUAAAAAAUGAUGCAUCUAUUGAUACAGUUAAGCAGUAUUUCCUCCAGAACCCCACACAAGUCUCAGCCAGUGAUGAUAUGUCUUAGUUUUUCCUUAAAAAGCAACAGUUACAAGCCAUGCUCGCAGCUGCUAAGACCCCUCAAGAUUUCCAGAAAAUCCUUGAAGAAGGAAGCUCAAGUUUCUCCCAAGAAAAUUCUUAUGCAGAGUCUGAUGAUUCAACAAGCUACUUUUCAGACAAUGGUGAUGACUGUGAAGGAAUCCUUUCUCCAAUAAGAAGAUCUAAGUAAUCAUUAGCCUUUUGUCUUCCAUCAAGAAUAUUUUACAAGUCUUGCAGUUUCUGUUCCAAAAGCAGCAAGCAUGUGACUACAUAGUAUAUAGCAGCCUGCUAGAAGUCUUCUCAGCCGAAAGAGGGUUUUUCAGAGGAUUUCGGUAUAAAAAUGAAUCUUACUAUUCACUAUUCACUAUUCACUAUUCAAGCACGAGUCUACUGUUCAUGGUUACUAUUCAAGAUUCCUUUUUUGCCUAUUUAAGGAGGCUCGGUCCUCAUUUGUAAAAACACUUAAAUUUUCUCUCCCAAGCUUAUGCUCUCCCUUCUCUCUUCUUUCUCUCUCAUCAUGUAACCCCUUCAAGCUUUCAAGCUUUCUUCAAGCUUUCCUACCCCUGCCCAUUGUAAGAUAUUUCUCCUUAUAUAUAAUAUAAGUAUGUUUUGAUUACCUCCUAUAUGGAUGGUUUUUAAUUAAGUUUUGUUUUUCAUUUUAUUUUAUGUUCUUGUACUGCCUAUAUGGUCGGUUUUAAUUAAGCUUUGUUUUUAAGUUUAUGUUUUUAUUUUGUACCGCCUACAUGGUCGGUUUUAAGCUUAUUAUGAACUAACAAGUUUUUGGUUCCUUCUCUUUAAAUUUCUUGUUGGAUAUCUUUUGUAUCAUCUAACCCUCUUCUUUGUUUUGAAUCAUGGCAUAAUUCCUGUUUUCAUUGCAUAUGACCUUGUCCUGGGUGUCUAUGGUAUCAGAGCCAUGUGGGAGGGAAGUUGGGUCUUGUUUUGGGUGUUCUUGGCCUAUCCUAGGAUAGGUCGCAAUGUGCCUGGGAGCGCGAGCCCUGCCGGUUGAGCCGUUGUUAGCCGUGGAUAGGCGUUUGUUAGGCUGUAAGAGGGUUGGGGUGACGUCUCAUAAGGUUUGUCAAUAUGCUAUUAGGCUCUAGUUCAAAAACCCUAAAAUGAGCUCAAUUUUCAGAACCAUGUCUAGGAGAUCCAGUGAUUCUCAAGAUACUGUUGUAAACAGUGAACAAAUCAAUUAUCCUAAGAUCCAAAAUGAUUUAGAUGAUUGGAAGUUACCCAAGGUGUCUAAUCAAGAAAUUUAUAAGAAAUGAACCUUUAAGUUCUUCACAGAUUACACCAUUAAGACCUCUAAAAUGUCAGUCAGCUUAGAACAAGACGACCAAGUCAUAAGACUUCUAGAUAACAGAUCCAUUGAUAAGCAUAAGAAAGAUGGCUAUAAUUUCAUACACUUUGGUAUGAUUCAAGUAACUGCUAAGCCUUUGACAAGAUUAGGUUUAAACACCUCUAUUGUCAUGUGUUUUAGGGAUAAUAGGCAGUUCGAAUAUCGAGAUUCUAUUAUAGGCGCAGUCCAAGCUGGACUGAAUGAUGGCCCAGUUUAUUUCCAGUGCUUAUCCUAACUUCAUAGUUAGAAUAAGAGAUGCAGACAUCCUAUAUUCCGUUGUCCUGCAUAUUAAGACCCAUGACUUUAAGAUCAAACGAGGAAACAGUCCUAUUUCAAUCAUAACCAGGUUUGCCUAUAAGAGCAUGAAUACAAGCGUUGGAUCUGGGCCUCUUUGCACCAGUCCUAAAGGUGAGACUACUUACUUUCACUCAGAUAUGCUAGAUAAGUCAGAUUUCAUCAUCCCCAAGAAGAUCUUGUGGAAAGAUGUUGAGUUCCCUGAAAAUUGGCAUUUUGCUAAUGCUGUUCCAGCCAUAGCACAGCGUUCUGAAAGUAUUGAACAAAUUGUUCAAUAUCCUGAUGGAGGAGGAGAACUGGUUUUCUCCAACUCUUUCAGACAUUCCAGCAGCCCUAGAGUUUCUGUUUAUGAACCAUCUAGAGCUUCAAGCUCUUCCAUCACAGUUAGAACCACUAGGGAAGAAUAAGGAUCCAACUCAGGAAAUCCUAAGAACAUUAAGCUAACAGGUGUUAGAAGUCACACCAACGUGGCUAGACCAUUUUACUCAGAGGAAAAUGAGUCUACUCAGGAUGAGUCUCCUGUUAUGUCUCCUACCUAUUCCUAGAUGAUUAACACAAUAAGCCUAAGUGAUGAGGACUUUGAGAUCAACAAGGAUCUCUUAAGAAAGGACUUCUAUUCUGAAGUCAAUAAGCAAAGAAAUGAUUGGUUCUUUAGCACUGUCCCUAAGGUCAUUAGAACCAUUUACCAAGAAGAAUUCUAUGCCUACUUAAGACAAGAAAAGAAAAAUAUUAAGUUUUGGAUUUGGUUUGAACUCUUCAAAACAAGAGGAAUAUCCAGAUUAUCCUUGUAAGCGUAUUAACAACACCUCUACAAAAGCUAAGAUAUGGAAAACCAGUGAUAACAUUGUUAUAGAAUUCAUUCAUCCUCCGAAAGCUAAGAUAGAAAAGAAUAUUAAUGGAACCAUAGUCACAGCUUCACCUUUUAAGACUAAGCCAGAGGAUAAAGGAACUGCUAGUGCGUCCGAUAUUAGAAGAAUUAUGGAACAAAUCAAUUAUACUAAUAUGUUUCUCAUAACCCUUGGAAAUCAAGUCAACAGAGUUGAGGAGAUUAUUGAAACUCAGGAUCACCUUAAGAAGCCUUUUGUUAAGAAUGAUAAUAAGCCUUUGUUUAAGCCUUUUGAAUUAUCUAAGAAAUUCCAAGAAAAUCCUCAAAUUGAUCAAGCUUUCAUUGAUAGAAUAAGCCAAAAGGUUAAAGAUAAUCUUGUUAUCCCUGAAACACCUCAAACUUUUGCUAUCCAUGAAACACCUCUACCUUCCCAUAGGAGAAUCCUUUUGGUUAAAAGGAAUAUUAAUCCAAAAGUAAAGGAUAAUGGACUAAUUAGGUUAACCAGAGAAUCUUCUAUCCAAAACCCUUUUAAGGAUCAUAGUGAUAAACAAGAGAUUAUCCUUAAUACCCUAACUAUUAAAGAUCUUCAAGAAGAAAUAGGGCAAUAUAGGAAGGAUAUUGAGAACCUAAGACAACCUACAAGCACAGAAUCCCAUAUCCCUCAUGAUUAUAUCAAUAUGAUAGGUUUUUACCACAGUAGUCUUAAAAAGGAAGACUUUGAAGAAGUUCUUGAAUCUUCACAAGACAAUAGUGAUAAGAUAAAUGCAUACUUAAAUACUAUUAGUAAAGUUAUCUUCCAAAGGUGGGAAGUCUCCCUUACUAUAGUAAUUAAGAAUAAAUUUAUCCUUGAUAUUAUUGCUUUAAUAGAUUCAGGUGCAGCUUUGAAUUGUCUACAAGAAGGUCUUGUACCUACCCAACUUUAUGAGAAAACCAGGCAAGCCCUUUUUGGUGCUAAUGGUAAAAAGCUUAUUAUCAAGUACAAGCUAUCGAAUGCCCAUAUUUGUAACCAAGGCAUUUGCAUUAAGCAAACCUUCAUCCUUGUUAAAUUCCCAUGUGGGUAGAUGAUCAAGGUAUAAGAACUAAGCUUUUAGAUAAGGAAAUUCUGUUUGAAUUUGCCAAUCCACCUAGAGAAAGAAGUAUAAACACCAUAAAAGAUCAGGUGAUUAAGGCUAAGCAAAACCAUAUUAAUCUCUUAAAGUAAGAGAUUGCUUUGGUUAGAAUAGAAGAUCAAUUGAAGGUUAAGAAAACUUAAGAUACCAUAGAAAAUUUUAAGAAUAAAAUUAUUAGGGAAGUAUGUUCUAACAUUCCUAAUGCUUUUUGGCACAUGAAGCAGCAUGAGGUAGAAUUACCUUAUGAGCCUGAUUUUAGUGAGAAAAAUAUUCCCACUAAAGUAAGACCAAUCCAAAUGAACAAGGAUUUGUUAAGCUAUUGUGAAAAAGAAAUCCAAGAUCUCAUAGAUAAGAAGUUGAUAAGGAAGUCUAAAUCCCCUUGGAGUUGUUCAACCUUUUAUGUUCAGAAACAAGUUGAACUAGAAAGAGGAACACCUAGACUAGUCAUCAACUAUAAGCCCCUCAAUGAUGUUUUAAGAUGGAUCAGGUAUCCUAUCCCAAAUAAAAAAGACCUCCUUCAAAGAUUAGUGAAGUCCAAAGUUUUCUCUAAGUUUGACAUGAAAUCAGGAUUUUGGCAAAUCCAGAUUGCGGAAAAAGAUAGGUACAAAACAGCCUUUGUGGUCCCAUUUGAUCAUUAUGAGUGGAAUGUAAUGUCAUUUAGCCUUAAGAAUGCACCUUCUGAGUUUCAAAACAUAAUGAAUGAAAUCUUUAACCAGUUUUCUGAUUUCAUUAUUGUUUACAUUGAUGAUGUUUUGAUUUACUCAAAUUUUGUUGAGCAGCAUUGGAAACAUCUCAAUAAGUUUGUUGAGACUGUUAAGAGCAAUGGUUUAAGUUUGUCAGCCACUAAGAUUAACCUCUUUCAAAUUAAAGUAAGAUUCCUAGGUCAUCAUAUUCACCAAGGAACAUUCACCCCCAUUCAAAGAUCAAUUGAGUUUGCUGAUAAGUUCCCUGAUGAGAUUAAGGAUAAGAAACAAUUGCAACGUUUCUUAAGAAGCCUUAAUUAUGUGUCAGAUUUCAUACAAGAUUUAAGCCAAUUAUGUGCCCCUUUAAGACAAAGACUUAAGAAAAAUCCAGUUCCUUGGAAUGAGGAUCAUACCAAGAUUGUUAAAAUAGUAAAGUCUAGAGUCAAAACCUUACCAUGUCUCGCCUUAGCUGAUCAUAAAGCCUUUAAGAUUGUUGAGACUGAUGCUUCUGACAUAGGUUUUGGUGGAAUUCUUAAGCAAAGAAGUAAUAAUCAAGAAUUGUUGGUUAGAUUCACCUCUGGAACUUGGAACCAUGCCCAACUCAACUACAGCACCAUCAAAAAGGAAAUUUUAAGCAUCGUUUUAUGCAUUUCAAAAUUUCAAGACGAUCUUUUGAAUCAGGAAUUUUUAUAUAAGAGUAGAUUGCAAAUCUGCAAAAUCAGUUUUACAAAAGGAUGUUAAAAAUAUAGCUUCUAAACAUAUUUUUGCUAGAUGGCAAGCUAUUUUAAGCAAUUUUGAAGAGACGAGUUCCCUUGAAGAAAUUCCUUUUUUUUUUUUUUUUAAUUUGGGAAUUUUAAAAUAUAUAUAUAUAUAUUUAAAAAAUAUUUUUUUUCCAUGGGAACUCGUCUCUUGAAGAGACGAGUUCCCUUGAAGAAUUGUUUUAUAUAUAUAUAUAUAUAUUUUUUUUUUUAAAAAAAAAUUUUCCCAUGGGAACUCGUCUCUUCAAGAGAUGAGUUCCCUUAAGUUCUUUUUUUUUUUUUUUUUUUUUAAAUUUGGGAAUUUAUUUUUUUUCCAUGGAAACUCGUCUCUUGAAGAGACGAGUUCCCUUGAGGAAUUGUUUUUUUUUAAAAAAAAAAAAUUUGGGAAUUGUUUUUUUUAAAUAAAAAAUAUAUUUUUAAAAAAAUAUAUUUUUUUUCCAUCGGAAUUGAGGAAUUGCUUUUUUUUUUUUUUUUUUUUUUAGUAAUUUGGGAAUUUUUAAAUAUAUAUAUAUAUAUAUAUAUAGAGACGAGUUCCCUGAGGAAUUUUUUUUUUUAAUUUGCGAAUUUUUUAAAAAGAAAAUGUAUUUUUUUCCAUGGGAACUCGUCUCUUGCAAGAGACGAGUUCCCUUGAGGAGUUGUUUUUUUUUUUUUUUAAUAAUUUGGGAAUUUAAAAAAAAAAAAAUUUCAUUGGUUCCAUUGAGGAAUUGUUUUUUUUUUUUUUUUAAAUUUGGGAAUUUUUAAAAUAUAUAUAUAUAUAUAUAUAUAUAUAUAUAUAUAUGUUUUUUUUUUUUUUUUCUUAGGAACUCGUCCCUUGAAUAAACAAGUUUCCUUGAGGAAUUGUUUUUUUUUUGAGGAAUUUUUUUUUUUUUUUUUUAAGGGGGUUAUAAAAAAAAAAAAAAAAAUAAAAAUAUUUCCCGGGGAAACCCUCCCUUGAAAAAAAAAAUCCCCUUAAACAACGGUUUUUUUUUUUUUUUUUUUUUUUUUUUUUUUUUUAAAAAAGGGGGAAAUUUUUUAAAAAAAAUUAUUUUUUUUCGGGGGCCCGUCCCCCCAAAAAAAAAAGCCCCCAAAAGAAAAUUAUAUUUAAAUUUUUUUUUAAAAAAUUUUUUUUAUUGGGGGAAUUUUUUUUAAANNNNNNNNNNNNNNNNNNNNNNNNNNNNNNNNNNNNNNNNNNNNNNNNNNNNNNNNNNNNNNNNNNNNNNNNNNNNNNNNNNNNNNNNNNNNNNNNNNNNGGGGGGGGGUUCCCGGGGGAAUUUUUUUUUUUAUUUUGGAAAUUUUUUAAAAAAAAAAUUUUUUUUUUUCCUGGGGAAUUUUUUUUUUCAAAAGAAGGGUUUCCCUGGGGGGGUGUUUUUUUUUUUUUUUUAUAAUUUGGGGAAUUAAAAAAAAAAAAAUUUCCUUGGUUCCCCUGGGGAAAUUUUUUUUUUUUUUUUUUAAAUUUGGGAAUUUUUUAAAAAUAUAUAUAUAUAUAUAUAUAUAUAUAUAUAUAUGUUUUUUUUUUUUUUUUUUUAGGAACUCGUUUCUUGAAUAGACGAGUUUCCCUGAGGAAUUGUUUUUUUUUUGAGGAAUUUUUUUUUUUUUUUUUUAAUGUGGUUAUAUAUAUAUAUAUAUAUAUAUAUAUAUUUCCAUGGGAACUCGUCUCUUGAAGAGACGAGUUCCCUUGAGCAACUGUUUUUUUUUUUUUUUUUUUUUUUUUUUUUUUUUUUUAUAAUUUGGGAAUUUUUUUAAAUAUAUAUAUAUAUUUCAUGGAGCUCGUCUCUUCAAGAGACGAGUUCCCUAGAGGAAUUGUUAUUNNNNNNNNNNNNNNNNNNNNNNNNNNNNNNNNNNNNNNNNNNNNNNNNNNNNNNNNNNNNNNNNNNNNNNNNNNNNNNNNNNNNNNNNNNNNNNNNNNNNGGAAUUUUUUUUUUUUUAAGGAAUUUUUUUUUUUUUUUUUAAAGGGGGUUUAAAAAUAAAAAAAAAAAAAAAUAUAUUUCCCAGGGGACUCCUUUUUUGGAGGGGCGGGGUUCCCUGGGCAACCGGUUUUUUUUUUUUUUUUUUUUUUUUUUUUUUUUUUUAUAAUUUGGGAAUUUUUUUAAAUAUAUAUAUAUAUUUCAUGGAGCUCGUCUCUUCAAGAGACGAGUUCCCUAGAGGAAUUGUUAUUUUAUUUUAUUUUUUUAAUUAUUUUUUUUAAUUUGGGAAUUUUUUUAUAAAAAAUAUAUAUAUUUUUUUUUUCAGGGAACUCGUCUCUUCAAGAGACGAGUUCCAUUGAGUAAAUGGGGAAUUUUUUUAAAAAUAUAUAUAUAUUUUUUUCAUGGAACUCGUCUCUUGAAGAGACGAGUUCCCUUUGUUUGAAAAGACGCCUUUUGAAAUUUGAAAAGAUGAUUUUGGUUUUAAAAAAAUUUAUCCGUUCACCCUCUCUCCUAUCUCCUCUCUCUUAUGUGGCAAAAACUACCAUAUAUUUGUAAUAACUUUUUCUACUACAAUAAUUUAAGCAUAAUUUUUUUAAAUUACCGUACUAUUGAGAAAAGUCCUAUAUACUAGGCCCAGGAAUAUGACUUCAGCCUUAGUUUAGGGAUAAUCUUUUUACAUAUUUCAUCAUUUUUGAAAGGAUUCAGACCUUUCUUUACCUUAGGAAAGGAGCACGUAAGAAAGUGAUGUUUGUUUUUUUACUUAAUUUUAAAUAGAACCUUAAUGCUUAAUAGUGUUGAAUAUUAAAUUGUUUUUAUAGAAUUUUAUUUUUAUGUAAAGAAAAACCAAUAUGUUAAUUUUUUUAUUUAGAAAAAGUUACAUAUUUUAGUUUUUUUUAAUAAAAAAUUUAUAAUAAGUUAUGAAAAAUAAAAAACCAAAUAACCUAAAUUUUAAAAACAAAUUAUUUUUAAUAAAAAACUAAAAAAAAUAUGGGACCAAAAAUACCAUGAAUGACCCAUCUAGCAGCAACAUACAAACAAGAGAUAAUGAGAGUAUAGAUUGCUCCUGGGCUUGAGAAAUAUUGUCUGUCAAUAUUCCAUUUAACAAAAUUAAGAGAAUUAUUAAAUAUACCGAUUUACCAAAAGUGGGUUAUAAUACCUUGAUUUGGAAAUAAAUAUAAAAUAGGAAGUCAUCUUUUAAUAAUCCAAAAUUCAUAAUAUCAUUUCAAAAUAUUUCAUAUUGGAUGCCCUAAGAGCUUAUGUGUCUUUAAGUUUCAAUAAUACCCUCCCUAACAAUAGUCUGACAAAAGGAAUUACAAAAGGUAAGUGAAUGAAUGGAAAUGGAGUUUUUUUCCUCAGGAAAAAGAUAAAGAAAUGAUGGGAACGUGGGAGAGUGGACCUGAGAAAAUGCCAUGAGAAUCAGAAGUUCUGAAAAUUGUAAUCGAUGAUCGGGUACUCAAUUCAAGAGAUUUCAUCGAACACAUCUCUCUCAGCUCCACUACAGAGAGGUCCUCGUGCACGUUUUACAUUAAGAGUUCUCUUCUAAAAGGUAAAUCAACGUCGUUUGCAUUUUCUGACUGUUUUUGUUUUCUUCUAAUUUUUGUCUUUAUUUCUCCUCCGUCAAUCCCACAUUCCCAAGAAAAAGAUUAAACAAUAAUCCUCACUAAUUGCCAAGAAAAAAAUAAAAUAAGACAUUGAUUUCAUAAAGAAAAAGAAACAUAUCAAGACCAAUUAUGGGUUAAAGGGUAAAAUUAAUGUUCCAGAUUUCCGCUUACUUCUGUCACUCUCCCAGCAACCAAACAGAAAUCCCAAAAACCCAUAACACAAAUUGUGAAAUAAAAAUUAAAAAAAAACAUUGGCCAAGAAACAAUAGCAAGAGCGUCACCGACAAUUAGGGUAAAAAUCAGACCAAAUCCAGAACGAAACAAACCGGAAAAGAUUAGAAAAAUUCUAGGGAAUUAAGGAACUGGAAAGGGGCAAGCAACCCAGAAAAUGAAAGGAAUUACUUAAAGGCAGUAGAAAAAACGAAAAGGAUCUCAACCUCAGUAACGGAAAAAACAUAACAAAAGAGGAAAAACAAAAUCCUUUCAAGAAAAUUUUGACUAUUAUUUUCUAGAGAACCCAAGAGAGAGAGAGAGAGAGAGAGCGCUUACCUAGGUUCCGGGUUUUUCAGAGUGAGGUGAGAGCCAUUGUCGGCGCCAGUGGAAACCAGAGCGGAGAGGACGAAGGUUACCUCUUAUUUUCUUUUUCUUGAUCAAUUUUUCAUUUUUUUUCUGAUACGAAAAAAGGAAAAAAAAAUUAGUGGGCGGAGAUGGCGGCCAUAUCCGAUUCCACCGUCCUUCACAAAUCGUAUGGAAAAAAAAAGAAGAAAAAAAGAUAAAUUACAACAGAAAUUCGAAGCUCAAGGCCUGCAAAAUUGCAGAUCUAGAAACGUGGAUCUCAACUUUCGUACAGAAGGUACAAAUCAACCAAAAGAGAAUAACAGAGAAAAGAAAACGAAGGAAAAUUUUGUGUACCUGUAUACAAGUUGAGAGAGAGAGAGAUGGACGCCGCCUU